GUCGCUGUGGCUCAGUUGGUUAAAGCGCCUGUAUAGCAAACAGGACAUCACAAGUUCAAAUCUCGUCGGUGCCU